CCGCAUACGAUCUAAUCUCGGCAUCGAGGAUGGAUGAAAGGUGGCCUCUAUUUAUAAGCUAUCACUGAAGGAGGGGAUUGCGUCUGAUUAGCUAGUUGGAGGGGUAACGGCCCACCAAGGCGAUGAUCAGUAGCCGGUCUGAGAGGAUGAACGGCCACAUUGGGACUGAGACACGGCCCAGACUCCUACGGGAGGCAGCAGUGGGGAAUCUUCCGCAAUGGACGAAAGUCUGACGGAGCAACGCCGCGUGAGUGAUGACGGCCUUCGGGUUGUAAAGCUCUGUUAAUCGGACGAAAGGCCUUCUGCGAAUAGUUGGAAGGAUUGACGGUACCGGAAUAGAAAGCCACGGCUAA
rnacentral:rRNA from 1 species